CUCAGCCUCCCACACUUUUAUUUGUUAUAAACUAUUUUAUCUCUCUUUUUGCAUAACACAGCUGAAUAUGACUAAAUGUGCAAUUUGUCCACGGAUCUUACGUGAUUAUUCAUCCUUGCCAUUAUAACAAACACAAUUUCUUGCCAGGAGGGGAGAAAGAGGUUGGGACAAACAAUAGGUGAACUGCUGGGCUGUAAUUCCUAUCUGUUGGCUCCAGUUUGAGGAACAACGAGAAGAGGAAGGCAAGAGCUGUUCCCACCAAGAAAAUGAGCUGCUGGGAAAGCCACCAACGAGAUUCAGCUUGCUUUCUUACGCAGAUGAGCAACAAAAGCUACAUUACAGACAAAAGAACCAGUGCAAAAGAAACUGCACUUACAACACAGAAGCCAGUGAGCUGCUGAAGCACGGUGUCUUAAAUGAAUUCACAGUCAGUGCUGUAAACUUGAGGUAUACACCCAGCAGAGUGUAUUAGGCAAACACGAAGAUACUGUUGCACAAUAUUAUAGAAAUAAUACAAAAUAUAAAUAGUGGAAACUUCUCUUUUUGCUCGUUGUUUAUCAAAGCCUGCAGAUUAUUAACUUUACUGUUUUCCCUCAACUAGAAUUACAAUAUGCUCAUUUGGAUACUGUAGCAUAAAAUAAAGAUUGAAAUUUUAAAUGAA